ACCAAUUUGAUCCCGAGAGAAUGUUGGGCUUCUAAGACAUUUCCAUUUGGAAGUUUGUCUUCUUGGCACAAAAUGGCCUAUUGGGCAAAGAACUGCCCUUGCCUCGACUGCUGAUAGUAUGAGUGCUGUCCUUCUGGACAAGCGGGACACAAGGAAAAGUGACUUCUGAACUCUGCCGAGACAGGGACCCACAGAGUCUGAGAAUGUUACACAGGAGCCCUUCCACGUCUGGGAAUAAGCUCAUUAAGAUUCCAAAAAUGUGAUUUCCUUUUGCACUGCAGCUGAUGUUCUAUGGACGUCUGUGGUUACAUUAGCAAUAAAAACAUCCUGGAAUGCUCUGAGCAAUGCUAAGGCCUCCCAGGCUCAGUAUCCUGCACAUCACUUGCCGUAAUACAGCCAGGUCACCAGUAAAUACUUCCCAUUCCCAUGAUUCAAGAUUUUCAACACAUUUAAGCCUAGGAGUGUUAGCAUCCUUUCAUCUCACAAAUCUUAAAGCUGUUUAUUCCAAGAAGAGCCAAAGGAAAACCCCUCUGCAUUUCAACUACCUCAUUAGACACUAAUUAGUAAAUGUUUCAUUUUAAAAAUUAUGAAUCACCCUGCAAGUCAUAAAAUAAUUGUGUAAGGAAACAACGACCUUUAAGUUUGAAGAAAGGAAUGGAAUCCUAGAUGUCGCAAAGACCACACUGAGCCAAUUUUGUUCUAAUUCUCUUUGCAUCAUAGAGUGUUAUUCACUUCUGGGUUGCAACAAAGAAGUUGAGUGUAUUUAUGGGUCAAUGUUAACACAGACAGAAAAAUGCAACUGCAGAGAAGCAGGACCCAUGAUAACUGCAAUCACAAGUGCAUCUCACUGGAAGAAGCCCAUGAACCAGAAAGACCUCCUGUCCAGGCAGAAGAAAUGAAGGCAGACUGCAAAGCAUUUCUAUGUGGAUACGUAGCUUCCUCCUGCAAAGAACUGUCUGUACCAACUGACUCUGGGCUUUCCCCAUCAUUGCUGUCUGCCCCUUUUACAGUAUGUGUCUGGAGCAACACUGCAAGCUCACACAAGAUUAAUGUCUUUCAGCCUGGUGCUUAUUGCUAGUACGAAAGACAUUGAUAGAGUCCAGUUGAAGAGAGAGAAGCGGAAUCCUAUGAGCAAAGGACAUUAAAAUCAUGAUGGGGAAACCUACAGGGACAACCAAACCAAACUAGUGGGAACUCAUGAACUUUAGACCAACAGCUGUGGAGACUCCAUGGGACUGGACUAGGCCCUCUGCAUAAGCGAGGCAGUUGUGUAGCUUGAUCUGCUUAAGGGGCCGCCUGGCAGUAGGAUCAGGAUCCAUCCCCAGUGCAUGAGCUGGCUUUUUGGACCCCACUACCUGUGGUAGGGCACCACAAACAGCCUUGAUGCAGGGGGAGGGGCUUGGACCUGCCUCUACUGAAUGCACUAGGCUCUGUGGACUCCCUGUGGGAGACCUUGCCUUGUUGAA